rnacentral:lncRNA from 1 species
GUGUUCUUGUAAGGCAUCCAUAAGUUGGGUUUCCUAGUCACAGGUCAAAUUCGAUGCAAUGAUCACUGGAAUGGUAUCAUUGGGUCCUACAAAUAUAUAUCUAAAUGUGAUAGGAAGUGGCUUCAAAUCUAAUUUAGGUUCUCGCCCAAUUGAUGGUUUAUAAUCACUAUCUUGAGUCGAGUUCGUAUCAAUGGGUUGGUCCAAUUCAUCUUCUAGAUCGAAAAUCGGUUGCUCAGAUCGUAGGGUAUUAACUUCCUUUAUUUGGUUGACUUGAUUUUUUUGUUGAGAUUGUAGACCAUUUUCAUUUCUUGGAUUGGGCUCCGAUUGGCUAGGUAGCCUACCUAUCUCUCGCUUACUCAUG